AGGAGCGCGACGGAGCAUGGCGACCACGACGAGGGAGCGCGUGAAGGCACCAACAGGCCUGCUAGAACCGUCCCAAGGAGAGUCAGAGGCAUUGGGAUGGAUACCAGGACUUCAUCAUCAUAAAAUGGAAGACAUUCUGUAAUGACAGCAGAAGUGACUGUUGCCACCUUGGAGGAGAGGACACUUGCAACACAGGCUGAGGCAGGGGAAGAUUUUCAAUCUGUCUGCAACUAGCUGCCAAAACUUUUGCAUGAAUAGGGAAGAAUACAGUCAAUCACCCAGAUGUUCCACCUGCAGGAGGCCAUGCACCCAGCUAUUUGGAAACAAUCAGGUGUCCAGAACAUGAAGACAACACAUCUGGAAGGUGAUUGUGUGUGUGUGUGUGUGAACUUUUAAAGAAGAUAUAUUGAUAUCAUGUUGAAAUAAUUUUAACCCCUCUUGUACCUAACUGAGAAAAAGAACAAAUUUAGAGAAAUGUUUAAGUAUAGUCUAUAUAACAUUGAAAUUACUGACAA